CAUAAGCCAUUACCUGAGAUGAUUUUCACAGCCCUUGCGUUUGAUAGAAGUGGAUAUACAUGUAUAGAUGCUUAGCCAAUCAGACACUAGGCUUGCGAAUAUGGAAUCCGGAUGCUCACAAGAUUUAAGACAAGAGCUGUAUGAAAAAAAACUGCAAUUGUGCAAGGAAAGUUUGAAGUGUCUGUUGGAAUGAUCAACAUCGAACUUGCUGAGCAUUCGUACUAAAAGUGAAUCCGUUCGUGACGCCAAUUAUCUGUCAACCCUCUAUUGCAAAUUUCAUGGGAUAUCUGUGAGGAAGUGAUUCUAUCAACAUGUCAGAAGUUUUGGAUCUUCCACAAUUGGGAUCUU